AAAUCAAGUGAUGAAAUUGGAUUUAAAUUUCUCACGACGGUCGUCUGAGGCACCUCAAAGUGUCGAAUUGAUGAGUGAUCCAAUCAUCUGAUGAUU
rnacentral:snoRNA from 9 species